UACGAAGGGGGCUAGCGUUGCUCGGAAUCACUGGGCGUAAAGCGCACGUAGGCGGACUCUUAAGUCAGGGGUGAAAUCCUGGAGCUCAACUCCAGAACUGCCUUUGAUACUGGGAGCCUUGAGUUCGGGAGAGGUGAGUGGAACUGCGAGUGUAGAGGUGAAAUUCGUAGAUAUCGAGAGGAACACCGGUGGCGAAGGCGGCUUCCUGGACAGUAACUGACGCUGAGGCGCGAAAGCUAGGGGAGCAAACAGG
rnacentral:rRNA from 1 species